UGAGGAAUUUUGCGCAAUGGGAGCAAUCCUGACGCAGCAACGCCGCGUGGGUGAUGAAGGCCUUCGGGUCGUAAAGCCCUGUCAGGUGGGAAGAAUGUCCCGGAACUGAACAGGUUCCGGGAGUGACGGUACCACCAGAGGAAGCACCGGCUAACUCCGUGCCGGCAGCCGCGGUAAUACGGAGGGUGCAAGCGUUAUUCGGAAUUACUGGGCGUAAAGCGCGUGUAGGCGGUCCUGCAAGUCUGAUGUGAAAGCCCCGGGCUUAACCCGGGAAGUGCAUUGGAAACUGUGGGACUUGAGUACUGGAGAGGAUGGGGAAUUCCCGGUGUAGAGGUGAAAUUCGUAGAGAUCGGGAGGAAUAUCAGUGGCGAAGGCGCCCAUCUGGACGGUAACUGACGCUGAGACGCGAAAGCGUGGGGAGCAAACA
rnacentral:rRNA from 1 species